rnacentral:rRNA from 1 species
GAUGAACGCUGGCGGCGUGCCUAAUACAUGCAAGUCGAGCGAACCACUUCGGUGGAGAGCGGCGAACGGGUGAGUAACACGUAGGUCAUCUACCCAUUAGACGGGGAUAACGUUUGGAAACGAACGCUAAUACCGGAUAGGAAGAAAUUUUAAAGGUGCUUUCGGGCACCGCUAAUGGAUGAGCCUGCGGCGCAUUACCUAGUUGGUAAGGUAAGAGCUUACCAAGGCGACGAUGCGUAGCCGACCUGAGAGGGUGAACGGCCACACUGGGACUGAGACACGGCCCAGACUCCUACGGGAGGCAGCAGUAGGGAAUCUUCGGCAAUGGACGAAAGUCUGACCGAGCAACGCCGCGUGAAUGAAGAAGGCCUUCGGGUUGUAAAAUUCUGUUAUAAGGGAAGAAAGACUAUAGUAGGAAAUGGCUAUAGAGUGACGGCACCUUAUGAGAAAGCCACGGCUAACUACGUGCCAGCCGCCGCAGUAAGAC